rnacentral:tRNA from 1 species
GGCCUUAUGGCCUAAUGGAUAAGGCGUCUGACUUCGAAUGAGAAGAUUCCAGGUGCGAAUCCUGGUGGGGUCG